rnacentral:rRNA from 1 species
UACGUAGGGAGCAAGCGUUGUCCGGAAUCAUUGGGCGUAAAGCGCGCGUAGGUGGCCUCAUAAGUCCGCUGUGAAAGUCAAAGGCUCAACCUUUGAAAGCCGGUGGAUACUGUGAGGCUAGAGUACGGAAGAGGCGAGUGGAAUUCCUGGUGUAGCGGUGGAAUGCGCAGAUAUCAGGAGGAACACCAAUGGCGAAAGCAGCUCUCUGGGACGGUACUGACGCUGAGACGCGAAAGCGUGGGGAGCGAACAGG